UACGUAGGGUGCAAGCGUUGUCCGGAAUUAUUGGGCGUAAAGAGCUUGUAGGCGGUUUGUCGCGUCUGCUGUGAAAUUUCGGGGCUCAACCCCGAACUUGCAGUGGGUACGGGCAGACUAGAGUGUGGGAGGGGAGACUGGAAUUCCUGGUGUAGCGGUGAAAUGCGCAGAUAUCAGGAGGAACACCUAUUGCGAAGGCAGCUCGCUGGGACGUAACUGACGCUGAGACGCGAAAGCGUGGGGAGCAAACAGG
rnacentral:rRNA from 1 species